rnacentral:rRNA from 1 species
GAUGAACGCUGGCGGCGUGCCUAACACAUGCAAGUCGAACGGAAAGACGCUGCUUUUGCCGGGUUCUCGAGGGGGGCACGGGUGAGAAACACGGGAGUAUCCCGCCCAUGACUGUAGGACAUCUUCAGGCAACUGCGGAUAAUACAGGAUAGCAGCUCCUGAUGCACGGUGGUCGUUGGACAGUUUCGGCGGUUGGGGACCGAGUGGCGGGUUAUCAGCUGGUUGGGGGGGUAGUGGCUUACCAAGGCUUCGACGGGUAGCCGGCCUGAGAGGGUGACCGGCCACAAUGGGACUGAGGGACGGCCCAGACUCCUACGGGAGGCAGCAGGGGGAAAUAUGACACAAUGGGCGGAAGCGUGAGGCGGCAGCGCCGGGUGCGGGAUGACGGCCUUCGGGGGAGAAACCGCUGUCGCCUGUGACGAAGCGUGAGUGACGGUAAUGAGUAAAGAAGCACCGGCUAACUACGUG